rnacentral:rRNA from 1 species
AGAGACAGCAGUAGCCACGGUAAAACGUAGGUGGCAAGCGUUGUCCGGAAUUAUUGGGCGUAAAGGGCUCGCAGGCGGUUUCUUAAGUCUGACGUGAGAGCCCCCGGCUCAACCGGGGAGGGUCAUUGGAAACUGGGAAACUUGAGUGCAGAAGAGGAGAGUGGAAUUCCACGUGUAGCGGUGAAAUGCGUAGAGAUGUGGAGGAACACCAGUGGCGAAGGCGACUCUCUGGUCUGUAACUGACGCUGAGGAGCGAAAGCGUGGGGAGCGAACAGGAUUAGAUACCCGAGUAGCCCUGUCUCUUAUACA